AUUAUUUAGGCACCUCCAACUGCACCUUGUGAUUAUCAAUCAGUGAUGGGACAUCACUCUCUGUCAUGGCUUUGUGUUCGCUUACGCCUGCUAAGGUUUGCCCUUGGUAGAAACUGGCUAGUUUAUCCCGGAUCGGAGUCUGCAACUCGACUCCGUGAAGUCGGAAUCGCUAGUAAUCGUGGAUCAGAAUGCCACGGUGAAUACGUUCCCGGGCCUUGUACACACCGCCCGUCACA
rnacentral:rRNA from 1 species